rnacentral:rRNA from 1 species
UUGAACGCUGGCGGCAGGCCUAACACAUGCAAGUCGAGCGGAUGAAGGGAGCUUGCUCCUGGAUUCAGCGGCGGACGGGUGAGUAAUGCCUAGGAAUCUGCCUGGUAGUGGGGGAUAACGUCCGGAAACGGGCGCUAGUACCGCAUACGUCCUGAGGGAGAAAGUGGGGGAUCUUCGGACCUCACGCUAUCAGAUGAGCCUAGGUCGGAUUAGCUAGUUGGUGGGGUAAAGGCCUACCAAGGCGACGAUCCGUAACUGGUCUGAGAGGAUGAUCAGUCACACUGGAACUGAGACACGGUCCAGACUCCUACGGGAGGCAGCAGUGGGGAAUAUUGGACAAUGGGCGAAAGCCUGAUCCAGCCAUGCCGCGUGUGUGAAGAAGGUCUUCGGAUUGUAAAGCACUUUAAGUUGGGAGGAAGGGCAGUAAGUUAAUACCUUGCUGUUUUGACGUUACCAACAGAAUAAGCACCGGCUAACUUCGUG